rnacentral:rRNA from 1 species
AUUGAACGCUGGCGGAAUGCUUUACACAUGCAAGUCGAGCGGCAGCGCGGGGGCAACCCUGGCGGCGAGCGGCGAACGGGUGAGUAACACAUCGGAACGUACCCAGUGGUGGGGGAUAGCCCGGCGAAAGCCGGAUUAAUACCGCAUACGACCUGAGGGGGAAAGUGGGGGACCGCAAGGCCUCACGCCGUUGGAGCGGCCGAUGUUCGAUUAGCUAGUUGGUAGGGUAAAGGCCUACCAAGGCGACGAUCGAUAGCUGGUCUGAGAGGACGACCAGCCACACUGGAACUGAGACACGGUCCAGACUCCUACGGGAGGCAGCAGUGGGGAAUUUUGGACAAUGGGGGCAACCCUGAUCCAGCCAUUCCGCGUGAGUGAAGAAGGCCUCGG